rnacentral:rRNA from 1 species
ACAGGGAUUGCCCUAGUAACGGCGAGUGAAGCGGCAACAGCUCAAAUUUGAAAUCUGGCCCCCCGGCCCGAGUUGUAAUUUGUAGAGGAUGCUUCUGGGUAGCGACCGGUCUAAGUUCCUUGGAACAGGACGUCAUAGAGGGUGAGAAUCCCGUAUGCGACCGGCCCGCGCCCUCCACGUAGCUCCUUCGACGAGUCGAGUUGUUUGGGAAUGCAGCUCUAAAUGGGAGGUAAAUUUCUUCUAAAGCUAAAUACCGGCCAGAGACCGAUAGCGCACAAGUAGAGUGAUCGAAAGAUGAAAAGCACUUUGGAAAGAGAGUUAAAAAGCACGUGAAAUUGUUGAAAGGGAAGCGCUUACAACCAGACUUUGGGGCGGUGUUCCGCCGGUCUUCUGACCGGUCUACUCUCCGUCCCGAGGCCAACAUCAUCUGGGACCGCCGGACAAGACCUCAGGAAUGUAGCUCCCCCUCGGGGGAGUGUUAUAGCCUGUGGUGAUGCGGCGCGUCCCGGGUGAGGUCCGCGCUUCGGCAAGGAUGUUGGCGUAAUGGUUGUCAGCGGCCCGUCUUGAAACACGGACCAAGGAGUCUAACAUCUAUGCGAGUGUUCGGGUGUCAAACCCCUACGCGGAAUGAAAGUGAACGGAGGUGGGAAGGGGCAACCCUGCACCAUCGACCGAUCCUGAUGUCCUCGGAUGGAUUUGAGUAAGAGCAUAGCUGUUGGGACCCGAAAGAUGGUGAACUAUGCCUGAAUAGGGUGAAGCCAGAGGAAACUCUGGUGGAGGCUCGCAGCGGUUCUGACGUGCAAAUCGAUCGUCAAAUUUGGGUAUAGGGGCGAAAGACUAAUCGAACCAUCUAGUAGCUGGUC